GUGACAGUGCUGAUCUAAUCCAUGAGCAAACAGCGUGGACCAAAACAGUCCCCAGGAGAGGCUGGUGCAGGAAGGCUCAGACACUGUGUUCUCUGACAUAAUUUAUAGACGGGGUCUCACCUUGUUGCCUAGGCUGGUCUCGAACUUCUGACCUCAAGUGAUCCACCCACCCCCGCCUCUCCAAGUGUGGAAUUACAGGGCUUCUAUGAGGCUGUCUUGUAGGAUGCCCAUGACGAUCCUCCAGACACUAAGAUGAGAAAACUAAGGCCCAAAGGGACACCUGGCUUUCCUAAGACCUGUAAGUGGAAGAGUCAGCAUUUGAAUGGAGAACUCGCAGCUUUCGGAGUCUAGACUUGUUUUACCUCACCAGACUGCUUCUACUCCUAGUGAUUCCUUCCCUUAGAUUAAGCCUUGCUCUCUUCCCGUGCAAUCAUGAAGAGGAUUAUAUUAGUAAAUCCCUGAACAUUCCCUGAUUGGGGAGUGAGGGUCAAACCAAGGCAAAUGGCAGGAUUGACACUCACAUCAAGGGCUGGCUCAUUAAGGGCUCGGGACCUGGCGAUCGAGUUGCAUUGCAGAUUUUGGAAGUAUGCAAGACCACGCCAGCCACCUUUCCAGGGAGAGACCAUGCAAAGAAGGCAGGUGAUCCAAGGGCUGGGAGUGGUGAGGACUGCUCCAGCCCCUGAGCAGCUGUCAUCCCAGCACAAAGUGUCAGAAGAGACCUCAAAGUGUGGUCUGCAGACGAGGCAGCAUCUGCAUCACCUGGGAGCUUGUUAGAAAUGCAGAAUCUUCUGAGAGAACCAGACCUGCUGCAUCAAAAUCUGCAUUUUAACAAGAUUGUAACUUAGAUACACAGUAACACUUAAAAAGGAUGGGGCAGAGAGGCUAAGUCAGCAGCUUCUCAUCACACUCCAAUCUGAUGCUGCUAGUGCUCCAAAAAGCUCUCAUAUCCUCACUGACUAGCCUAGGGCUGUGUCUAUCAAUGCAUUAUAUGACACAGAUGAAGACUAUUGUGUACCUUCCUCAAUUUUUACCCCAUUGUUUCAGCCUUUUGUACAUCUUUAAUGCAAACAUCCAUGCGAGAAUUCUUGUGACAUUAAUUUUUUGGAACAACCUGUUUUGCAGAGCAAAUUUCAUUAAGCCAUUUUAAUCCAGAGUUUAAUUUUUUAUACAGCUCGACUCAAUCAUUUCCAUUUUUUUUCCAUUAGAAUGUCUAUUUGUAGUAACAUUAUUUUCAUGGGAUCAAUUAUUUUCUGUUUAAAUUUACAACAGGCAUUUGACUCAUCAGUCUCUUUUUAUAUACCAUCUUUUUGCUGAUUCUGACUUCUGCUAUUUGGAGAGGUUUUCUUGUUUGUGUGUUUGAUUCUUUUGUGGCCAUUCUUUCUAUUAAGUGAAAAUCGUCUGGAUCAAAUUUUGUAGAUUUAAAUUUUGUUAUUAGUGAUACCUGUUUUUUUUCCCUGUCAAUUUUAGCUCAUUACACAUUCUAGUCAUUUUAACCCUGCUAGUUUUGUUAGUUGCUGAUCACUUUUACCAUACCAGUAAUACGUGGUAGAAAUAAUCACCAGAAUGAAAA
ensembl:lncRNA LINC02177 long intergenic non-protein coding RNA 2177